AUUGAACGCUGGCGGCAGGCCUAACACAUGCAAGUCGAACGAGUGGCGGACGGGUGAGUAAUGUUUGGGAAUCUGCCUGAUGGAGGGGGAUAACUACUGGAAACUGUAGCUAAUACCGCAUACUAUAAGAUGAGCCCAAAUGGGAUUAGGUAGUGGGUGGGGUAAAGGCUCACCUGGGCGACGUUCCCUAGCUGGUCUGAGAGGAUGACCGGCAACACUGGAACUGAGACACGGCCCGAACUCCUACGGGAGGCAGCAGUGGGGAAUAUUGCACAAGGGGGGAAAGCCUGAUGCAGCCAUGCCGCGUGUAUGAAGAAGGCCUUCGGGUUGUAAAGUACUUUCAGUAGGGAGGCGUUACCUACAGAAUAAGCACCGGCUAACUCCGUGCCAGCAGCCGCGGUAAUAC
rnacentral:rRNA from 1 species